GUUUGAUCCUGGCUCAGAUUGAACGCUGGCGGCAGGCUUAACACAUGCAAGUCGAGCGGGGGAAGGUAGCUUGCUACUGGACCUAGCGGCGGACGGGUGAGUAAUGCUUAGGAAUCUGCCUAUUAGUGGGGGACAACAUUCCGAAAGGAAUGCUAAUACCGCAUACGUCCUACGGGAGAAAGCAGGGGACCUUCGGGCCUUGCGCUAAUAGAUGAGCCUAAGUCGGAUUAGCUAGUUGGUGGGGUAAAGGCCUACCAAGGCGACGAUCUGUAGCGGGUCUGAGAGGAUGAUCCGCCACACUGGGACUGAGACACGGCCCAGACUCCUACGGGAGGCAGCAGUGGGGAAUAUUGGACAAUGGGGGGAACCCUGAUCCAGCCAUGCCGCGUGUGUGAAGAAGGCCUUAUGGUUGUAAAGCACUUUAAGCGAGGAGGAGGCUACUAGUAUUAAUACUACUGGAUAGUGGACGUUACUCGCAGAAUAAGCACCGGCUAACUCUGUGC
rnacentral:rRNA from 1 species